GAGUUUGAUCUGGCUCAGGAUGAACGCUGGCGGCAUGCCUAACACAUGCAAGUCGAACGGACACCUUCGGGUGUCAGUGGCGAACGGGUGAGUAACGCGUAGGAAUCUACCCCUGGGAGGGGGAUAACAGCUGGAAACGGCUGCUAAUACCCCAUACAGGCGCAAGCUGAAAGGAGCAAUCUGCCCAGGGAUGAGCCUGCGUCGGAUUAGCUAGUUGGUGGGGUAAUGGCCUACCAAGGCGACGAUCCGUAGCGGGUCUGAGAGGAUGGCCCGCCACACUGGGACUGAGACACGGCCCAGACUCCUACGGGAGGCAGCAGUGGGGAAUUUUCCGCAAUGGGCGAAAGCCUGACGGAGCAAUGCCGCGUGAGGGAAGAAGGCCUUCGGGUUGUAAACCUCUUUUCUGGGGGACGAAGCUCUGACGGUACCCCAGGAAUAAGCCUCGGCUAACUCUGUGCCAGCAGCCGCGGUAAGACAGAGGAGGCAAGCGUUAUCCGGAGUCAUUGGGCGUAAAGGGUACGUAGGCGGCUAGUCAAGUCUGAGGUUAAAGACCACAGCUUAACUGUGGAAAGGCCUUGGAAACUGACUGGCUAGAGUGGGGCAGGGGUUGCGGGAAUUCCCGGUGUAGCGGUGAAAUGCAUAGAUAUCGGGAGGAACACCGGUGGCGAAGGCGGGCGCCUGGGCCGUUCCUGACGCUGAGCCGCGAAAGCUGGGGGAGCAAACCGGAUUAGAUACCCGGGUAGUCCCAGCCCUAAACGAUGGGUGCUUGGUGUGGGGGGGGUAUGGUCCCUCCGUGCCUGUAGCUAACGCGUUAAGCACCCCGNCUGGGGGAGUACGGUCGCAAGGCUGAAACUCAAGGAAUUGACNGGGACCCGCACAGCGGUGGAGCAUGUGG
rnacentral:rRNA from 1 species